rnacentral:lncRNA from 10 species
GAUUUGUGUUGGUAGCUGUUUGCAAUUCAAAUUAGUUUGUCAAGUGGUUUCAGAUUCUUCAAUCAGGGUCCUGAAGUUAACCUGGGGACACUGAGUGAAGGCUGUAAUUGCAAAGAUGUUUUCACAUGGGUGAAUUGGAAGCCCUAUGGAUGAAAAGCAAACGACGGAAUAGGGCCCUGGAUUGCUUGGCUGAAUGGAAGGGAAAAUGAAACAAGCUGAAGACUAUAGGAUGUCAACUGUGGAUACAACUCACAAGCUACCAUAUUGAUGUGACAUGAUGAAGUGGGAAGGAAAGCCAUCUGGAGUUUCACUGGUGAAUUGAUACAUCUUGCACUUAACAUUGUGUAUCCCCUGGACUUUGAUCAAAUGGACAUGGGCUUUCUGAUCUACUGCAGAGUGCCUGGAAAUUCAGGCUCCUAGGAGGAAGGAACUUGCAUUAUCUCAGGUGGGAAGAUACAGCAAGAAACAUCUGCAAGCCAGGAGAGUGCCCUCACCAGGAACCUUGAUUUUGGACUUCCCAGCCUCCAGAAUUGUGAGAAAUAAGUAUUUGUUGUUCAAAC